GUGAAAUUCCGUCGGAAUCUGGGAGGACCAUCUCCUAAGGCUAAAUACUCUCUAGUGACCGAUAGUGAACCAGUACCGUGAGGGAAAGGUGAAAAGCACCCCGGAAGGGGAGUGAAAUAGAACCUGAAACCGUGUGCUUACAAGUAGUCAGAGCCCGUUAAUGGGUGAUGGCGUGCCUUUUGUAGAAUGAACCGGCGAGUUACGAUUUGAUGCAAGGUUAAGCAGUAAAUGUGGAGCCGUAGCGAAAGCGAGUCUGAAUAGGGCGUUUAGUAUUUGGUCGUAGACCCGAAACCAGGUGAUCUACCCUUGGUCAGGUUGAAGUUCAGGUAACACUGAAUGGAGGACCGAACCGACUUACGUUGAAAAGUGAGCGGAUGAACUGAGGGUAGCGGAGAAAUUCCAAUCGAACCUGGAGAUAGCUGGUUCUCUCCGAAAUAGCUUUAGGGCUAGCCUCAAGUGAUGAUUAUUGGAGGUAGAGCACUGUUUGG
rnacentral:rRNA from 1 species